AUUGAACGCUGGCGGCAGGCUUAACACAUGCAAGUCGAGCGGAGAGAGGUAGCUUGCUACUGAUCUUAGCGGCGGACGGGUGAGUAAUGCUUAGGAAUCUGCCUAUUAGUGGGGGACAACAUUUCGAAAGGAAUGCUAAUACCGCAUACGUCCUACGGGAGAAAGCAGAGGAUCUUCGGACCUUGCGCUAAUAGAUGAGCCUAAGUCGGAUUAGCUAGUUGGUGGGGUAAAGGCCUACCAAGGCGACGAUCUGUAGCGGGUCUGAGAGGAUGAUCGGCCACACUGGGACUGAGACACGGCCCAGACUCCUACGGGAGGCAGCAGUGGGGAAUAUUGGACAAUGGGCGGAAGCCUGAUCCAGCCAUGCCGCGUGUGUGAAGAAGGCCUUAUGGUUGUAAAGCACUUUAAGCGAGGAGGAGGCUACUUUAGUUAAUACCUAGAGAUAGUGGACGUUACUCGCAGAAUAAGCACCGGCUAACUCUGUGCCAGCCGCCGCGGUAA
rnacentral:rRNA from 1 species